GUCGAGAAUCUUUCACAAUGGGGGCAACCCUGAUGGAGCGACGCCGCGUGGAGGAUAAGGUCUUCGGAUUGUAAACUCCUGUCAUGCGUGAACAAGGUUGCUUGGAUAAUACCUGAGCAAAUUGAUGGUAGCGCAAGAGGAAGAGACGGCUAACUCUGUGCCAGCAGCCGCGGUAAUACAGAGGUCUCAAGCGUUGUUCGGAAUCACUGGGCGUAAAGGGUGCGUAGGUGGCGUGGCAAGUCAGAUGUGAAAGCCCGGGGCUCAACCUCGGAACUGCAUCCGAUACUGCCAUGCUAGAGUACUGGAGGGGUGACUAGAAUUCUCGGUGUAGCAGUGAAAUGCGUAGAUAUCGAGAGGAAUACCAAAGGCGUAGGCAGGUCACUGGACAGUUACUGACACUGAGGCACGAAGGCCAGGGGAGCGAACGGGAUUAGAUACCCGAGUAGUCC
rnacentral:rRNA from 1 species